rnacentral:lncRNA from 1 species
GUGUUGCUCACCUUGGUCUAUGUGAAUAUUAAACAAAGGACGCAGAUGGAUUCAUGACAAAAUUGUGUUUUGUUGAUGGUGAUGUGUUUGUACUGAACAUUCUUGCUGCUUACAAUUAUCUCUAUCUAUAAUGAACUUGGCCCAGUAGCUUCAGUGGAAAAUGUUAGUAAAAAUUUACAAAUUUUAUGAAAAUUGUUAAAAAUUGACUAUAAAGGACAAUAACUCCUUAGGGGAUCAAUUGACCAUUUUGGUCGUGUUGACUUAUUUUUAGGUCUUACUUUGAUGUACAUUAAUGCUGUUUACAGUUUAUCUCUAUCUAUAAUAGCAUUCAAGAUAAUAACAAAAAACGGCAAAAUUUCCUUAAAAUUACCAAUUCAGGGGCAGCAACCUAACAACGGGUUGUCCGAUUCAUCUGAAAAUUUCAGGGCAGAUAGAUCUUGACCUGAUAAACAAUUUAACCCCGUCUAAUUUGCUCUAAAUGCUUUGGUUUUUGAGUUAUAAGCCAAAAACUGCAUUUUACCUCUAUGUUCUAUUUUUAGCCGUGGCGGCCAUCUUGGUUGGUUGGCCCGGUAACCGUACACAUUUUUUAAACUAGAUACCCCAAAGAUGAUUGUGGCCAAGUUUGGAUUAAUUUGGCCCAGCAGUUUCAGAGGAGAAGAUUUUUGUAAAAGAUAACUAAGAUUUACGAAAAAUGGUUAAAAAUUGACUAUAAAAGACAAUAACUCCUAAAGGGGUCAACUGACCAUUUCGGUCAUGUUGACUUAUUUGUAAAUCUUACUUUGCUGAACAUAAUUGCUGUUUACAGUUUAUCUCUAUCUAUAAUAAUAUUCAAGAUAA